rnacentral:rRNA from 1 species
UAGACACAAAUGAGCGAUGAAGGACGCGGUGUAACUGCGAAAUGCUUCGGGGAGGCGUGUAACGGCCUUUGAUCCGGAGAUGUCCGAAUGGGGAAACCCCAUAUGACAAACUCAUAUGACUUCAAACUUGAUUUGAAGAGCGCACUCAGGGAAGUGAAACAUCUCAGUACCUGAAGGAAGAGAGAAUAAAUAUGAUUCCCUGACUAGCGGCGAGCGAAAAGGGAAAAGCCCAAACCUUAACUUCGGUUGAGGGGUUGUAAGGCAGAGACACUUUCUACGCUAAUAUUUUUCGGACCUUUAACCGAAAAAUAUCAGUGCGGAAUAAAGAGUAAAAAAUUUGUUGGUUAGUAGAAGCUUCUGGAAAGGAGCGCCAAAGAACGUGAUAGCCGUGUACACGAAAACUAACAAACUCUUGUUUUUGUUCUUGAGUACCUCGAGGCCAACAAACCUUGAGGGAAUCCGGGAGUACUAUCUCCUAAGGCUAAAUAUCAUUUGUGAUCGAUAGUGAACUAGUACCGUGAGGGAAAGGUGAAAAGCAGGCCGGUGAGGCCGAUGAAAUAAACCUGAAACCGUCCAUCUACAAGGAACGGAUGUCCGCAAGGACGACCGUGUGCCUAUUGAAGAAUGAACCAACGACUUUAUCCACAUUGCCAAGUUUAACCCCACUCUGAUGGGGGAAGGCGUAGCGAAAGCGAGUCUUAAAAGGGCGUUCCAUUCACUAAAAACAGAAAACUUCUGGUUUUCUGUUUUUAGUGGGUUGGUAGCAGUGUGGCUAAGACCCGAAACCAGACGAGCUUGUCCUGACCAGGUUGAAGUUCCGCGAAAGCGGGAUGAAGGACCGCACCGGUGAAUCGUUCAAAAUUCUCGGAUGAGUUGGGAUAAGGAGUGAAAAGCUAAUCGAGUUUGGUAAUAGCUGGUUCUCUCCGAAAUAGUUUUAGGACUAGCCUCGCGUGUUUCCUUUUGGAGGUAGAGCACUGGAUGAAAAUCAAAGGGCGAAAGCUCGGGUUUUCAAUCAAACUCCGAAUGCCGAAAGGUAAAAGCGCGGGAGUCAGACUGCGGGGGCUAAGCUCCGUGGUCGCAAGGGAAACAGCCCAGAUCGCCGUCUAAGGCCCCAAAAUUUCUGCUCAGUGCGAAAGGUAGUUAUUAUCCAGAGACAGAUAGGAGGUUGGCUCAGAGGUAGCCAUCCUUUAAAGAGUGUGUAACAACUCACUAUUCGAGGAUAGUAGCGCCAAAAAUUUACCGGGACUUAAGCAGGAUGCCGACG